AACCCAUGGUGAGGGCACCUUUUCAAUAAAUCCUUAUACCCCUCCAUGCAUCAUAUAGAGUUUCUAAAUCCAUUUUCACGAAGGAAGAGAUAUCAUUCCUCAGCUU
rnacentral:snoRNA from 1 species